GUGGAGCUGGCGCCAGGGCUCGCGGACGCGCACCUCCGUGGGCGCGCAGGUGUGUUCAAUGACCCCGCGCCAGCCGAGACCAGGGCUCUGGUCUGGAAGGGGGCUCUGGAAGACGCUCUACCACCUGCUACGUUAGCCGAAGGAGAGGGGAAUGGGAACAGAAUCAAAAUACGCCGCCCGCCCCCCGCCCGUCUCAAUUCACAAACUUUUAUGGUGGACUGCUCUUUUUCUACACCUGAGACUUUCUUACCUGAGGAUAAAGCUAUUCUGCAUCCAUGGUGACAUCAAGGCCUUCAGACCUGGAAUGGAACUACACUACAGCUUUCCUGGGUUUCCAGCAUGUAGACAGUAAAUCAUGGACCUUCUCAGCCUCCAUAAUCAUGAAUAAUCCGGAGAGGAGCCAGAGGGGACCUGAACAUCAAAGAGGGAGAGCCCGAGUGUCAAACGUUGCUGAGAUGUCACAUACAAGGAUUCUAGAGAAUCUAUGAAAGCGCACAGUUCCCUGAGCUUGAGCACUUUGUGCUGCCUGAGGUCAUUACACAACGGAAGGAACAGCUGCCUCUGGGAACCAUGCCCGCCUCAUCAGGCAAUCUUCCAUUAUAAUUUGACUACCUGGCUAAAUUUGCAUUUUCAGAGGAACAAUAACAAUCAGAAUAACAGUUAGCACCUACUCUGUUCCAAGUAAACACUUUACAUAGAUUAUCUCAUUUAAUCUCCAAAACAAACUCUAUGAGGUAGGUGUGAGGUACUAUUACUAAUCCCAUUUUAUAGAUUAAAACACUGAGAUUCAGAGACAUUCAUUAACUUGCUUUAGAUCACAGUUAAUGAGCAGCUAAAUUCUAUUAAAUCCAGAAUCCACAAACUGAAACCAUACGCUACAUUUUAUCUCCAUAGUAAGUGGAUGACACUGCUGCAAACAUUCUAUUCUGUUUGUGUUAUAUUUCUCACUGUAAAUUAAUAAAUAGGCAUUCCAGUAGUAUUAGCAAUUGGAAUAAUAUAGAUUUGUGAGUGAUUUGGGUGCAAGCAGUAGUAUUAGGAAACAUAGAUGCCUCUAAGCUUGACUAUGAAAUAAAUGGGCAGAUAAAGGAAAUUUGCAAGGCAAGUAUAUUAAAGACGUUUUGUUGCUAUUAUAGGUUUAUUUAUUUAUUUAGAUAGAAGAAAGAUUAGUUUGUUAGCUGAAGACAAUGAAGCAAAGGAACACAUCAGGGAAAAGGGGGAAAAUAGAGAGCAUAAAGGACCAGAGGAAGUGGCAGUUCACAAACUCUAAGUACAGGCAGCAGGAAUAACUUGGGAUGGGAGAAAAGCUAUGUGACUAAGAAAUGGAAGCAGAGGCAGAUAAAUUGCAGGAGAAGGAGGGUGAUGGGAAUUUAAGAUGAUCUCCAUGUUCUCAGUGGGAAAAAAAAGGAGAAAGUGUCUCUACUGUGAGGAUGGGAGACAUAAAAAGAAGGGGCUUGAGGAGAAGGGCAACUGUUGCAGAAGCUCUGGGAGAGGCAGCUGAUGAGGAAGAGGGCGUGCUCAUAGGAGGCCUGCUGGGCUGUAUAGAAAGUCCGGCUGAGGUUGGAGACCAGGGAUUUGUUGGGGCAACACUGAACAAUUUUGUGAUUUUUCUCUAGCUACUCUUGACAACUUGAUCUGGGAACUGAGAAGCCUGUUAGUGGGAGUGUAAUUUCAUGAUGCAGUUAAGGCAGAAGGGUAAAGACAAAAGGGGCUGAGAGGCUGUUUGUGGUUUUAGUUAGCUAGAGAAAGGGUUGAAGAUGAAAGACAGGUGAUAGAUUGGAAGGAAAAAAGAGGACCAAAAGACAGAAAUAAGAGAGUUGGAAAGAAGAAAAGUCGUGGUCUGAGUUUGAGAUAUGAGUUUAAAAUUCUGGAGGAAGUUCUGGUGAAUAAUUACAAUGUACAAUAUUCUACUAAUUUGCAUGAUUCAACUAACUGAACUGAAGUGCUUGCUGGCCAUCAGUAAGGUAAUGUGAUAGUCAGAAAUGCUAUUUUCAGAGCCGAAAUUUGGCAUUCAAAAGACAAUUAGGAUCAUCAAUGCUUAAUGUAUAAAUGUCAAGUAAGAGGCAUUUUCUGAUUCUCUAUCUCUGACGCAGUGUAUUCACUGCCCUUUCUCUUGGCAUGAGGUCAAAAGCCGGUAUCUUCUUUCUGUUUCAGUUCCUGUAGGGCAUUAACAGUGUUUUUCUUUCUUUUGACAAAUAUUUGUUGACUGCCUAAUAAAGCCAGACAGUCUGUUAUGUGUUGAUAACAUACCAGUGAACAAGAUGAAAUAUCUAUCCUCAAGGGGCUUAAAUGCAGCAAUCAACAGACAGUAAUAACACAGAAUGAUAAACACGAUAAUUAUGUUAGGACUUAGGUCUGAAUGGAAGGGCACCUAACUCAACCUUGAGUAUCAGGGGAGGCUUCUGUGAGAAGGUCUCAUCUCAAAUGAAUAAAGGAGUGGUAGGUAUAAUCCAGGUGAAUGAAUGUUGAGGGCGAAAUAAGAGGGACCCCACAUUCAAAGAGGCAUCUCUGUUUCUCUUGGCACCUUCAUUCUCACAGGCCAGUCAUCUUAGCAUCCCCCUACCUAGGGGAUACUUCUACCAGGAAUCACUGAACCAGAAGAUCUAGAAGAUCUACAUUUAAGUCUCAGCAAUAUUUCAUGUUGAUGUGACUUUAGACGUGUCAGUUAACCUCAAGGCCAUUUUUUCAUCUUAGGACAGGCAUAAAGAUACCUACUUCCGAGUUAUCAAAAUGAGCAAAUGACAUAACACAGGUGAAAGUGCUAUGGAAACUGUUAAACACUACGCAGGUUUUAACUGUUCUUAGCAUCAGAAGGUGGAACGCCAUAUGCCUUCGUACUCUUGAGCCUAUUAUGGGGAUUAAGAAACAAAGACUCCUUAAUAGUUACUCCGGAUUUGUAGGUAGUUCUCAGGUCUGCCAAGUUUAAGCUCUGAAAUGAAUUGUUCUUGAAGGUACUUAAAAUGUUUGAGUUAAUGCUAUAAAUUAUUGUAAUUGGUCCUCUACUCAAAAGCCACCGCAGGAAAGAUAUGGCAGCUAAAGUAUCACCUAGCAGUAGAGUGAGCAAUGCAAUCAAUCCUUAGAGUACCUGGGCCAUUCUGUGGAUAAAAAGACCAGUAGAGAGGGGAAUAUAACAAUUAGCAGGCUGAAAAAAAAAGGUGAGGUGGGGUAGAGGGAUGACGAAAAACAUCUUUACCCCCCAAAUUAGGAUGGCCUCUUGAACCAUCAACAUUUGCUUCAUAGUAUUUCAGAAGAGCCCUGCUAAUGAAAAACCAUUUCACGGAAUUAGUUUCUUGUCUGGUGGGCAAACUCAUUUGACAAACUUAUGCCACAGGGAAAGCACUUAGGAAUACUUCUAAUGAGUUGAAUCUAUGUUACUUUUAUACUUUAGAUUGGGAGAAUUGGGUAGACUUUGUCUCAGUAUAAUCACAAUAGUUAAGAUUAAAUUUUUUUCUGAUUUUACUAAGAAAAAUUUCAAAAAUACAUACAGCUAAUUUGAAAGAAUUUUAUAUACUCACCACCUAGAUUCUACCUUAAUACUUUACUACACCCACCAGGCUUAUUUUUUAUUAAAUAUUUUAUUUUGAGAUAAUUGUUGAUUCAUAUGCAGUUGUAAAAAAUAAUGCAGAGAGAACAUUUGUACUCCUUACCUAGUCUCCUCCGAGGGUGACAUCUUGCAAAACUAUAGUACGAUGUCACAACCAGAAUAUUGACAUUGAUACCGUCAAGAUAUAGAACAUUUUCAUUAUCACAGCGAUCCCUCCUGUUGCCCUUUUAUAGUCACGUCCACCCUCACCUCCUCAUUAAACCCUAGAAACUACUACUCCGUUCUCUAGUUCCAUAAUUUUGUUAUUUCAAGAAUGUUUUAUAAAUGGCAUCAUACAUUAUGUUACCUUUUGAGAUUGACUUCUUUCUCUCAGCAUAAUUCUCUGGAGAUUCAUUCAAGCUGUAUCAGUUGUGUGUAUCAGUGCUUCCUUUUUAUUGCUGAGGAGCAUUCCAUUGUAAGGAUGUAUUCAACCAUUCAUCUGUUGAAGGACACCUGGGCUGUUUCCAGUUUUUGGCUAUUAUGAAUAAAGCUACUAUCAAUAUUGGUGUAUGGGUUUUGGGCAAACCUAAAUUUUCAUUUCUCUGGGAUAAAUACCCAGGAGUAUAACUGCUGGGUCAUAUGGUAGUUGCAUGUUUAGUUUUUCAAGAAACCACCAAACUAUUUUCCAGUGACUAGUACCAUUUUAUACUACCAUUGUGUGAGUGAUCCAGCAUCUCCCCAUCAUCACCAGCAUUUGAUAUUGGCCACUAUUUUUUUUUUUAAUUUUAGACAUUCUUAUAGAUGUGUAGUGAUGUCUCAAUGUGGUUUUUUUUUUUUUUUCAUUUCCUUAAUGGCUAAUGAUGUUGAACAUCUUUUUCAUGUGCUUAUAUCCUUCUUCGGUAAAAUGGCUCUUUAUGCCUUUUGCUCAUUUUCUAUCUGGAUUUUUUUUUAACUGUUGAGUUUGAGUGUUCUUUUUAUAUUCUAGAUACAAGUCCUUUGUAGAGCAGGAGGGAAAUCCUCUCAUGUUGAGUUUAAAAUAUCUGUGGAGAUGUCAGUGGAAAUGACUGGCAGGCAUGUCUGGAGGUUAGGAGAGACAUUCAGGCUGGACAUUAAGCUUUGGGAGUUGUGACGGCACAGCUGACAUCGAACCUGUAGGAAGACAAUAUCAAAGUUAAAAGGAAGGGCCAAGAGAAUAUUUGAAACAUUUGCCCAUUUAAGUGGUGAAAGAACUAAGAAUGGUUAAAGAAGCAGGAGCAGGUAGGAAAGUGAUAUGAUGAAAACCAACGAAAACCAGAAUCUAGUUUUUGCUUUUCUGUUAUGGGUAAUAUCUGCAUAAAAAAAGAUCUACAAAGGGAUGAUGUUCACAAAACUGCUUAAAAAGUAUUAGAAUUAGAGUUUUCAUUAGAUGCAAUAUUUUAAAAAGUUAAAUAUAAACAUGUUAACUAUU